GAUGAAGAACGUAGCGAAAUGCGAUACGUAAUGUGAAUUGCAAAUUCAGCGAAUCAUCGAGUCUUUGAACGCACAUUGCGCCCCCUGGUAUUCCGGGGGGCAUGCCUGUCCGAGCGUCAUUGCUGCCCUCAAGCACGGCUUGUGUGUUGGGCCCCGUCCUCCGAUCCCGGGGGACGGGCCCGAAAGGCAGCGGCGGCACCGCGUCCGGUCCUCGAGCGUAUGGGGCUUUGUCACCCGCUCUGUAGGCCCGGCCGGCGCUUGCCGAUCAACCCAAAUUUUUAUCCAGGUUGACCUCGGAUCAGGUAGGGAUACCCGCUGAACUUAAGCAUAUCAAUAAGCGGAGGA
rnacentral:misc_RNA from 1 species